UACGUAGGUCGCAAGCGUUGUCCGGAUUUACUGGGCGUAAAGUGUGCGCAGGCGGCCAUGCAAGUCGAGUGUGAAAGCCCCGGGCUUAACUUGGGAAUUGCGCUCGAAACUACGUGGCUGGAGUGUGGCAGAGGAAGGUGGAAUUCCACGUGUAGCGGUGAAAUGCGUAGAGAUGUGGAGGAACACCAGAGGCGAAGGCGGUUACCUGGACAAUUACUGACGCUCAGGCACGAAAGCAUGGGGAGCAAAAGGG
rnacentral:rRNA from 1 species